UUCAACCCAAAGAUGAAAUAUAAUCUCAUUGAAACCAAAAUACAGAUGCAAUUACAGUUAAGGCAAACAACCACUUGCUUCAACAAAACAAAAAUAAUCAGCUACUCUACUAUUUUCAGUUAAUAAUAGACUUCCAUGGAAAGCCAAGAAAAAGCCAAGCAAGUAAAAUAGUAAAAACAACAACAAACAUGCUCAAUUACAAACACUCUUUCGAUUUGGCAACGAGGAGAAUCAUUAUAUUGUGGCAUAUCUCACUGCACACCAAAUAUAAAUUUAGUCAAGCCUAAAGACAAGAACUUCGAGAAGCUAAAUAAAGACUAAUCUCAAAAGCAGAAAAUAAUUUUAUGUUCAGGUGGAAAGCUCGAAAGCUCUUACCUUUUAUUCCAUAAUUGAAUGCAAGGUUGUUAACGCGAUUGUCCAUGUAGUUGUUGCAAGUUAAAAAAUUGGAUUCUCAAAUUUACAACAAAGAAACUAAUGAGUAGGCUGCAUAAUCCAAACCAUAUCUCUUCUAUAAUCACACAUAAUUUAAAACUGGAAGGAGUACCUAAUUAAAUGAUUAAUUAAAUCAAGCCAGCGAAAACAAAAAAUUACUUGAUAUUAAAGGAAACAAGAAUUACUUAAGGUUACUUAAUUUGGAUGCCAUUACCAAUAUUAUCAAUGCAUUCUUUCCAAGGUAAGCAUAUCCUCCUUCUUGCAUGGAUCCCUACAAAACAAAUUAAGUAACCUUUGGUACCCAUAUCUUUUUGGGUCCUAGAGGAUUAGUCUUUCUUCCCUUUGGAAUCCAAAAUAAUUUAGAAUUGUAUAUACGUAUAUACAUGUGUGUGUGUCAUUUGGGCCCAUUAGAUUGGAGGUUUUCUUAUUUGGAGUUGGGCUUGAUUUAUUUUUUAGAUUUUGGGCUUAUAUGUUAUUUGACUUGAGUUUUAUUUUAUGUUAUGCAUGAACCCAUUUUUUGACUCUUUUGGUUGAGCAUGAAUUUGUGACACGUGGAGAGCUGGAUUGAAAGAAAAUGAGGGUUAGGAUAUAUAAAUGGGACGUGAAAACUUAGGUAGAAGGAAGACAUUGAGCUUGUUGUAGGCUUAGGUCUGAUUUUCUUUCCCCACUUAUAUUUAGCUUCAUUUCUAUUGGCUUCUAUAAAUAUCCUUUUGUAUGUAUUCAUUGGUUGUACAUGGAGUUGAAUAUUUGAUUUAUUUUCAUUUUCUUUUUAGUUCUAUUCAUAUUUUGUUCAUAUAUUAUUUAUUGUAGAUUUUUUGUUCAUAGUUUAUCUGUCCAUAUGUGUUUGUUUAGCGUUUUCUGUUCACUAUAAAUAUUCUAUUCAUAUAUUUAUCUAUAUUUGUUUAAGUUUUUUGUUCUUUGUAAAUAUCUUAUACAUAUAUUAAUUCAUUUUACGUUUUUUAGUCAUGUUAAUAUUUGUCCAUAUUGUUUAUGUUUGUUUAUAUUUGUUGUUUAUACAUAUAUUAUUUCUUUUUUUUUUUAAUUUUAUUUUGGUUGUACAUAUUGUUUAUUUAUUUAAUAAAGUUGUUCGGGAAUGCUUUUAAUAAAAUAAUUUUUUUUUAUAUAAAUAAAGUUGUCAAGAAUUUUGGUUUUUAAAUAAAUUAAGUUAUCCAAAAAUCUUUUUUUUUAAAUAAAACAGGUCCAAAAAAUGUUUUCAAUAAUUUCUUUUAAUAAAAUAUUAGUAAUUUCUUUUAAUAAAUAUGUGACAUACAUAUGUGGCAUCCAGAUGUGGCAUGCAUAUGUGACAUACAUACAUACAUAUGUGGCGUACAUGCAUACAAACACACGUGGCAAACAUACAUACAUACGUAUAUGACAUACAUACAUAUAUACAUAUAUAUACAUACACACACAUACAUGCAUACAUGGCAUACACACACAUACAUACAUACAUACAUACAUACAUGGCAUACAUACAUACAUACAUAUAUACAUACAUAUGUGCAUACACACAUGCCUCCUCCUUGCUUGAAAGUGUGCCUUAGUCUGUUUGCCCCAUUCAUUAAGGACACCAUAGCACUCCAUUGCUAGCCUUAUCCCUGAAAUUGGAAGUCUUUUGUUCAAUAGCAUACAACCUUCUUCUUUGUUUAGGUAGAUAUGGCAUGAAAUUUGAGAAAUUUUAGCCUCCAAGACCCUCCUUUCAUAGUAGAAUUUUAUCUUAGAAAUUGUAACCAUGCCAGAUUUUUCAAUAUUUAACCAUUUAUUAUAUAGCAAAUCUUCUUUUCUGUAUCUACUUUUUUUCAUGGAUAUCUCUUGUUCAUGAAUUUCUUUUGCAUUUCUCACAAUCCACUAGCUGUGCUUAAUUCUUUUGCUCACCAAGAUAGCAGAGUUCAUUAUUUUUCUUGUGAAGCUCUCUAUGACAUUACAAGGGUGAGGUUAAUUGGUUUACUUUAAUUCCAUUACAUCUUUCCAGAUCUGUAAAGGGCCGAACCUGUCUCUUAAGGCUGUGCAGGUUGUAAGAGAAGAUUUUUUUAAUAUUUUUCAUCAAAAUUUUUGUGCCUUAUGUAAGCUUUCUACAAGACUCAGAUGCCAAUGUGAAAAGGGCUACUCACCCUUAGACUGGCUUUUUAAGGUAAUCAAGUAAUUAGUCCCCAGGACCCUGGUGAAUAUGUUUGUCCUCUGUAAUAGUCUCAAAGAUGGGAAUUUCUUUGUGAAGUCCAUGCUUUUUAUUAUUCGAAACAGGACAUCGUUCCUAAAAGUGAUCAAGUCAGGUAUACCAUUCCAUUUUAGUUCCAAAUAUGUUUGUUUUGUAUUAGAAGUUAAAUAUUAACAUAGAGUUCUAAAUUCUGCUUUAAUAAGGUUGUUUUGUCAUUGUGGUGCUUUUCCUCGGCAUUGAAGAACUUAUAUCAUUACUGAGAGAGCAGCAAUUGAACUAGAAUUCUUCCUUUCUCAUGGAUGCUGCAACAAUCUUUCUCUAGUCUAUGAGAUGUAACUGCUCAAAUCGUCGUUCAGCAGCUUGAAGUUAUAUGUGAUUUAGUUCUGGAAGUUGAAGUUGUUUAGCUUGAGAAAUUUGCACAUGCUAUGCCUGAAAGCCUCUUUACAAAAUUUUUGCCGAUUUCUCUUUUUAUUUUAUCAUAGCAUUGAUAUUUAUGCAGAAUUCACAUCCGUUAUGAUGUAGGAUUGAUCCGGAGGAUGCUAUGACCACAACUCCAACUACCUUUGUUGCAUCUCUAUGCUCAUUUUCCCACAAAAAAUGUUUCUCCAGCAACCAGUUGCUGUUAGAAAAUGCAUGUAUUGUGAGGCAACGCAAAUUAUCACUCAGUUGUUUACCUUGUCAGCAGCGUAGGAAUUUCUCAACACCUUAAAAGAUUGUUUUGCGAUUGUGGUGACAGAUUGGAAUAGAUGAUGAAAGAGUCAUAGCUCCAGAAACUUAUGGCAUUAAUACAACAAGAGAUAAAUAUGAGAUAAUACUAUGCCUACAAGAUGAUUAUUGAAGAAUGUGAGGGAUGAAAAUCCUCACAACUUCAGCAGAGAUUUCCUGAUCUCUUGCAAUUUUGUUAAAGUUUCCCUCAUGGUUAAAUAGUCGAUAGGGGAAUGAGUUGCAUAAGACAAACCAACUCUUAUAGUCUUAUUGCAACUGCCAAACAUCCUUCACUUCCAUUUCCCUAAUUGUUAUAGUAUUGUUGGUGCUAUUGUGGUGGGCAUCCCUGGAAAAAUUGAUGAAAUGGGUAUGUUCUAAAGAAUCAGUAUGGUUCAAAAGCCCAGGAUCAACAAUCCCUACAGCUUGAUUCUUGCACUGCUGAUCCAUAUUUCUUCUGGUUUAGGCCUUCCUGAAACAUCUCAAUGAUAUCAUCAGUGGCUUCCUUGCGAAUAUCUCAAGCAGUAGAAUUUUUGCAUUAGACCUUGAGCUCCACGACAUUUUUAUAUUUAUUUGCCAACAUCAGAUUUUGGAUGCUCAUUUGUAUUAAAUUAAAUUUCUACUGAAUUCUUGGAAAAUUUGUCACUAAAAUUUGCAGGCUAUGAUGAAUUUCCUUCCUAAUGAUUCUAUUUCUAUAUAAUACUUUUCUCUGAAAAACCAAUUUUAUUUAUUUAGUAUGUGAUAAUUAUAAUUUAUUUUUGGUGCAGAGAGAUACUAUUAAUGAGAUUUUCUAUGGGAGAUACUGUUUUUUUACUGUUGCAUAAGCACUUUCUAUACAUCCAACUACAAAAUCCCACUUGAACCUCAAACUUUCUCUUUUGCAAGAAAAUUCACUCCCUUAAAAGUAUGUUCUCAGAAAGAAUGGGAAUUGCAGGGAACUUCAUUUUGUUGAGUUGUUCAAGACCAUCUUUGGAAAUGCUUACAAAAUUGACUUUCUGAAGUGAUUAUGCAAGCAGGUUUCCACUUUGCUCUAUAAAAAUUUGGCUCAGGUUUGGAAGCAACAAUCCCUCCUUAUUUAUCAGCUUGAUUUGGUGGUAAGUUUAUGAAUAACUUACAGAAAGGAUUCUUUCCUUCCACUUCUGUUUAAUCUAUGUUUUUUAUUUUUAUUUUCCUUCUGAUUUGAUGUCUUAGAUUUGUUUAAGAUUUGAUGGCAGAUAUAGUCAUGUCAUUGGUCCACCAAAUAAUAUGCAGCAUAGUACAUUUUCCCUUUUCAAAAUCAUUCAUUUGCCUCUUCUUCCCAUUGUUCCUUCAAGCCAAUAACGUGUAUUUUUCUUGGGGAGAGUCGAAUGGAAAAGAUCCAUGUAUGCAGAACAAAGCCAUUAUUCAGUCAAGAGAACUCUUUUCAUUUGGUUCCAUGUUUGAUGAAAGAAGAUUUGUUAAACAUUAUAUCAACUUUUUGAAGAUUUGGAGCAGUAAACAAAACUCAAAAGGUUGAUGCGCACUGUACAGGAAGCAAGUAUAUAACUGUCUUCUUGUUGUGUUAAAUUUCAUUUUGAAAUUUUAGUUGACUGGGAUGUGGUAGUCUUCAAGUGAAUGUGGUUUCAUUUUUUAGAUUUCGAAAGAUGGUGGAACAUGCAGCAUUUGGAGACCAGUCUGUCCUGAUGGGUAGAAUCAUGGUUCCCUUGUGCUUGUUGGGGAUAUGUGCAGAUGUUUAACAGAUUGAGGUCUUGAGAGUAAAUUGUAUAAUCAUAAACACAUAUGCAUACAAUCAGCUUUGCCAACUUGCAAAUGGGGAAUAUAAACACUUGUUUCUCUGAUGUGUAAUGAGGUUAGUUCGUGAUUGAGUAACCAUUUGCAUCACUUAAACACGUAAUGACAAUGUAUACCAACAGGAGACAAAUGAACUGAGCCAAUUCCUUAGGUUUUGGUACUUUUGCUUUAGGUGCUCUCAUGGACUGAUGGCAUAGGUGCAUGUUUGCUAGAGUUCGUAUAUGCAUUUUGACAACUAUGGAAUCCAUUUUUCUAUAAUAUGAUAUUAUUUUUUGGAGAAUUUUAUUGAAGUGGCAUUCAUGUAAAAGAAUGAAUACAAAGAUUAUGAAAUCUGCUCCAUUUUAUUGAAGACUUAUCUU